UACGAAGGGGGCUAGCGUUGCUCGGAAUUACUGGGCGUAAAGCGCACGUAGGCGGCUUCUUAAGUCGGUGGUGAAAUCCUGGAGCUCAACUCCAGAACUGCCUUCGAUACUGGGAAGCUCGAGUCCGGGAGAGGUGAGUGGAUCUGCGAGUGUAGAGGUGAAAUUCGUAGAUAUUCGCAAGAACACCAGUGGCGAAGGCGGCUCACUGGCCCGGUACUGACGCUGAGGUGCGAAAGCGUGGGGAGCAAACAGG
rnacentral:rRNA from 1 species